GUAUGAAAGCAUACGACAGUAAUGCAAAUCCAAGUGUAGAGGGAGGAAUAACGAAAGAAAGGGACGGAAUGGUUGAGAAAAAGAGAGGGGAAAGCACUGGGUAGUGGCCGCGAGCAAUGGUGCGAGAGAGAAGGAGGAAGGGAGGGAGAAGCCACAGUGAAGAGCAUUCGAGUCAGCUUGACGGUGCCGGUCGCCUCAGUAUGCUGCGCAGCGCGCAGGCUCGCGUACGCGUAUUGUUUCUCUCUGUUCUCGUCUCCUUUGCUCUCCUCUCUUUCCUAAUUUUCCCUCUUUCUCUCUCCUGCUGUCCCGUACGUAUGCAGCGCGGCUAGAAUACGCAAGUACAAACAUCUCGCAGGUCUCUUUCGCGUUUAUGUCGUUCCGUUAAGUUUUUUGUUUCUCUGUUGGUCACGGACACCAGGAUAAUUCGACGAAAUUCAGGUUCCUUCGUAUAAAUAUUGUGAAUAACGUUUGCUGUGCACAUGCGACCGUAUGCCGGUGAUUCGAAUUUAAUCGAGAACCUGUUAUUAACGCGUGUGCGUGUACACGUCUAUAUGCGAGUCCGUAUACAUCGUGACACAGUGACACGGUACGUAAAGUUAGCGAUAAAGAAGAGUUGUGGCUCAUAGUGAAAAGCGUCAUAGAAAAGCGGGAAAUUUCGAUAUAUUCAACGAUAUAUUUUGAAACUUUGACACGUCAAAAACAGACGCAGUGGAUGAUUCUAAAGUAGAGAUUCAAGAGACUCAAUGUGGAUACUAAGAUAUAAUAAAGCGCAGUGAGUGGCAGAACGGUUACGAAACGCGUAGAAGGAGACGUGGCACGAAAUGAAGCGAACGUAUCCUCGUACGAUCGAUAACUAUAGCAUCUCAGUAAAUAUCAAGCGGUUCGUAUUUCCAGCGCGCACGAACCUAACCUAGCGAAUUAUCUGUUUUCUCGUACCUUGUAUAUUUGUAAACACAGUUGAAGAAGUCUUGUGAUCUCGAGUAAUUCGAAGAAGGGAUGUUGACGUGAAAGUGACGUUUCACACUCGAAGCGUAGAAGUAUCCAGAAUAUGAGAAUGAAAAUCUUGCAGUUAUUGAAGAAGUAAUAUUCCUUGUACGCCAUCUUGAUAUGUCGACGAAUAGCGAUGACAGGUGGUGAAUGUGAUUGUUAAUCGACCGCGCGAGAUUCGAUCAGUCGUGAUCGAAUGUUCGAUAUAUCUUGGUGCGAGCGCGUGUGUAACGGUCAAAAGAACGUCCCGGAAGAUUCUUUCCAGUGUAACGUACGAGGAGACAGAAAAUUACGAAAGGCGAAUAAAGCAACGAAGAAGAGAGAAUCCGAGGCGCUUUUAUUUUUAGCCAACGCCGGUUCGCGCAUCGCAAAAACCGGUUUCGAGUCUCGGCUUGGGUUGAGCCAUGAGGUAAGGUGCGUAUAUAGAGAAGGGUUUUCGUUGAAAAGGGAGGAAGUGAGAGGGAAAGACACGCGAUGUAAAGGUGUAUGGUUUUCUCUCUGUUGGUUAAGAAAGAAAGAAAGAGUGACACAGAACGUGGAAUUCGCCUAAGCCGAUACACACCUCCCCCUACUUCUCUUCUUUCUUCUCCCACCUCGAACUAUCGAUUGCGUGCAUGCACGCGCCUAUCCAUACUCGAUGUGUUACGUGACAUCGUACCGGGAGUGUAUAAUAUUCGAUUAUUAAGUGCAUCGUCGAUGAGAUGUUCAUCGCCGAAUAAUUAACCAAUCAGUCUGGCAAUAUAAAUACACAGAUAUCGAUAGAUCGUUACAGUUCUCGAAUCAAUUUUGAUGAAAAAGUGUGAGAAAUUGGUGCGAAAAGAGAAAGUGAAUCGAAGGAACAUGACAAUCGAAUAAAAUCGAAUCGAAAAAGUAAAAGGAAGAGACGGGAAGUGUUUAUAUUGGAUUGUUGCAUGAUACACGAGAUUGACGAAGACACGAAAACGGCAUGAAGAAUGGCAACCGAUUCGAGCAACCGUCAAGGUGUAAGGGCGGUCGCCACGACGACAACCGAUCCACAUCGAAGCGAAAAACGCGCCGUCGCGGCACGAGGCGCCGCCGGUGCUCUAGCCCUCAGUAUUCUGGCCGUGGUCCUCCAAUCGGCAGCUACCGCGACCCCCACUUGGGGAUAUUUCACCAAUCCUGACGCUGGUUCAGCAGCCGAGAAGGGGUACUUUGGUCCAUGGAGGCAGUGCAAACUGCUACUAUACGGUAGAGAAAGAUGCGGCCAAGGGGUUUCCAGGUUUCAACCAGUGUUGGCUGUGUGGGUGGCAGGAUUAGCUGCUGCGACCGCCUCCGCCCUUUUGGCCAUCCUGGUGGGUCUUGCCGUGCUACAACUUGCGAUGGCCUCCUCGGCAAAGCGAGUUAUUAUCUCGUACAGCACCGCUUUGAUAGGGAAAGUGGCACUCGCCACUUUGGCCACUUCGUUGGCAAUCGUAGCAGCGAGUCUGUUCGCUUUACAGACCGAUGACAGAGCUAGCAGCUUCAUUGUCACGAGGGGAGAAGCGUUUUAUAUGCAGUUGGCUGCCAUCGCUUUGAACUUUGGUGUGCUGAUCACUGCAGUGUACGAGGGUAUUUAUGCUCGACGAGGUGGUGAUCCAACGAAGAUUAGGGUUGUCGGUGAUCCACGUGCGGGAACCAUAAAUAAUCCUGGGUAUCGGGAACAUCAACCCACGAAUGGUGGCACCAUCUCGAUGACAGACGCCAGUGGCAAGCCUUACGUCGGCGGAGCCGGAAACGGCUCGAUGGCGUCUGUGGCGACUUCCGGAAGCGUCACGAGCACAGCAUCGCCACUUCGUAGCUCCCUCAAGAAGCCAAAACCGCUCGGUAUUCACAAUCCCGGUUUCUCGGCCCACAGCCCCACUCUCUCGAGAAAUGGUUCGCAAAAGAAAGUGCGAAUUCAGACCCACUCAACCGAGGUUUAACGCGUAUCAGCGAGGAUGGAAGAGCCUCGAUGAUUUUUUCUUUUUUUUUUUUUUUUUUUUUUUUUUCACGCGAGUCGACUCGACGUCGACUUGGUCGGAAGAAGCAUUCCUAAGAAGCGAAGCGCGUGAAGUGUGCACGAACUGUGGACUGAUUAUUCCACGAACUUUUCUACUAGCUUUCAGAUUGAAAGAUGUGAUUAAAAAGAUGUCCACGCCAGGAGAAGAGGAAUACCGAUUUAGAGCUCGAUCGAUCGAGAUGUUCGGUCAAUCGUGAGGUGUUCGGUGAGAUUACAAUUUAAGUUCCCAGCGGUUCCAGCCGUGAACAAGAAGAAAUUAACCCUUUGCGGUCUGGUUGCUUCACGCAAUAAGCUGUCCGGCUUGUUUCGAGAACCGUAUCGAUUACGAGGUAACUUUUCUUUAAAUCAAUAUUAUAAUUAAAUAUUAUCAGGUAAACGUAUUACUCUGUUCCUUUAUCUUUUUAUAUUUUUGAGAUUUCUUUUUUUAAACAUUUUUUUAAAUGUUCUGUUUCUACACGAGAGAAAUGCUCAUCCGUUACAAAUUUAUUUUGUUACUAUUAUACAUAUAUCUAUGAAUCAAAUAUCUUAAUCGAACAGCAAGAUUCUCAAUUUCUAUUCGAUUUUCUAAUAAUCUUCUACGAGCUUUCGCUCGUCCAAUAAAUAUAUCGUCGGAUCACUAUGCCAUCCCACGCAACGCGUCGUACGUACACGUUUAGACCGCAAAUGGUUAAUAGAAUUUGAUCGGACGAUAAACCGUAUCGAUUGUUCUGGCAACGUGUAAUUGUUUAAUCAAGAUUGGCGUGUUGCUAAAUGACGAUCACGACGACGAUGCGAGAGUUAAGUGGCAUCCACCUAUAAUCGAUAUCCAAGAUAACGAUUAUUUGGUAAACGAAUUUCCCGCCACAUGGUGAAACGUUUAGGGAAUGGAACGGUUAAUUAAAUCCAGUUGCGUUAAAUCGUGUAUGAUUUAAGAAGGUGGGAGGGAAAGGAAAAAACGAAAAGAGAAGAUAGCAACAAUCCUGUUAUUAUCGUCGUUCGAUUAUUGAUUUUACGUCACGGUUGGAACGGCGUGUUACUAUGGGUAUUAUGGAUGGUCGAAAGGAGAGAAAUUAAAGCCGAUUGUUAACUAUCGUUUUUUUUUUUUUCGCGUGAGAUCGAAACUCGAUGCCGUAAAUCUGGCAUCGUUUGAUUGAAAAUAUUAUAUAGAAUUAAAUUCGCGAACUGAUGUGACCGAUAUUAUUAUUGGAAUGCACGAAUCAAUCGAUACCUGACUCCUGAUCGUGUAAUUUCGCUAAGUAUUCUUUAUCUUUGAUCAUUAAAAGGUGUAAAUUAUUUAAUUGGAGUUAUUGCAAAGUAUUUAUAUAUAUAUAUAUAUAUAAUAUAUAGCAGAUAUAUGGAAUACUUAAUGAAAUUAAUUUUUAUCUCAUCAAAUUCGAGGUGCGAUUUCCUAAAAUCCUUAUAUUUAAAAUAUAUUUAUUUUUUUAUUUAUUUUUGGAUCCAAGAGAGAUACUUAUUGAAUUUAUUUCGUCGUGACAAUAAAAUAAAAUUCAAGAUGGCCACCUCGAAUUUAGAUGUCACGCACACAUUCCUCUACAUUGUUGCAUUGUCAAGAAAUUAACAAACAGAUUUCUCUAUUUGCUAAAUUCAAAAGAAAAGAAAAAAGAAGAAGAAGAAGAAGAAGAAAAAGGAAAGAGGAAAUCUGCAUUCCAAUAAUAACAUCGUUCCACGUCAACGAAGUCGCAGGAUACGUGAUACAUUUUUCUAGUUUCCCUUCCCUUCUCUUUCAUUUCCUCCAUAUUUUUUUUUUCUUUUUUUCUCCUUCGCUCUAGUUUUUUCAAUCUAACCUUUUCUCUAUAUCCCUGUACACUCCUUGUUCGUCGCAUAGUAGGUUUAACUCGACGUUUCCUCGUUCGAGGAACGAAGUAUAAAUAAAAUAUUUACUGCGUCGCAUCCGUCCAGCCCUGCAUAGGCAGCUAACCGUCAAACGGUGAGAGUUAUAUAUAUAAAUAUAAAUAUAUAAAUAUAUUUAUAUUUUUUAGCGAUUGUUUUAAUAUAUAUAUAUAUAUAUAUAAAUAUGAGAAAGAAGUUUAUAUAAAUUUAUAAAUAUGUAUAUGUUUUUAUUAUUUGCGCGCGCGCGACACUCGAGAUGAUAUAAUUGAGAUUUUGUUUCGCUCGUGUCAUUUGUCUCGAGAGAGAGAGUGAAAAAAAAAAAAAGAGAGAAAGAGAGAACAAGCGUUUUACUCGUUAGAAAGUAUAUAAUUAUUAAUAUUAUUUUUUAUUACUGUUGCUGUUGGUGUCGUGACACUAUUCCUUUCUUCAAGGAAGUUUUUUUUUUUUCUCUUUUUAUGCUUCUUUUUUUCGUCGAUAGUUUCGAAGUUAUUUAUAAUUUUUAUUCGAGGAUUUAUAUCGAAUACUGAUGAUUUUCUUCACUUCGUCCCUUUCUUUUAAUUACCUUCUUCUUCUUUUUUUAUUUUUCUUUUUUUUUUUUUAUUAGGACUUUGUGCGCAUAGUUGUUGAUACUUUAUUUAUUUAAUUCGAAUUGAAGAUCGAAAUCAAUUUUUUUUUUCAAUCAUUUCCUGAUUUUUGGUC